GACGAACGCUGGCGGCGUGCUUAACACAUGCAAGUCGAACGGAAAGGCCCUGCUUUUGUGGGGUGCUCGAGUGGCGAACGGGUGAGUAACACGUGAGUAACCUGCCCUUGACUUUGGGAUAACUUCAGGAAACUGGGGCUAAUACCGGAUAGGAGCUCCUGCUGCAUGGUGGGGGUUGGAAAGUUUCGGCGGUUGGGGAUGGACUCGCGGCUUAUCAGCUUGUUGGUGGGGUAGUGGCUUACCAAGGCUUUGACGGGUAGCCGGCCUGAGAGGGUGGCCGGCCACAUUGGGACUGAGAUACGGCCCAGACUCCUACGGGAGGCAGCAGUGGGGAAUAUUGCACAAUGGGCGGAGGCCUGAUGCAGCAACGCCGCGUGCGGGAUGACGGCCUUCGGGUUGUAAACCGCUUUCGCCUGUGACGAAGCGUGAGUGACGGUAAUGGGUAAAGAAGCACCGGCUAACUACGUG
rnacentral:rRNA from 1 species